rnacentral:lncRNA from 1 species
GAACUUUUCCACACUUCGUGGAGGGUCGUGGAUAGUGUUCCAACCUAUGGUUUGAGUCCCGAGAAUUGAGGUUCAAAACUUGGCACCAAAAUCCAAAAUUUUGGAUUAUUGGUGUGCUCUCGAGUAGCUGUCUGCAAGGUGGCGUACCGGUAAGCGAUGAUUGCUGUACCGGUACAGCCAUCGCCGCUGGCCGCCAAUGCGCCAACCCGAGGCUCGGGUUGGGCUGGUUCGCAGGUUGUGUACCGGUACACAAACCCGUGUACCGGUACACAAUGCUGAUUGGGCUGUUUCGGGGAGGGGUGUAUUUGCAAUUGUUACAACACCUAUAUAGUGACCCCAGCCCCCUUAGCUGCUCUUUUUGAGCCCUAACCAGUGGAGAUCAAGGUGAGUCCCCCCUUCCCUUAUUUGAUCUCCAUUUUUGGUGGAUUUUAUGGUGUUUUGAUUUCU